rnacentral:rRNA from 1 species
UACGUAGGCAGCGAGCGUUGUUCGGAGUUACUGGGCGUAAAGGGUGUGUAGGCGGUUGUUUAAGUUUGGUGUGAAAUCUCCCGGCUCAACUGGGAGGGUGCGCCGAAUACUGAAUGACUUGGAGUGCGGGAGAGGUGAGUGGAAUUCCUAGUGUAGAGGUGAAAUUCGUAGAUAUUAGGAAGAACACCAGUGGCGAAGGCGGCUCACUGGCCCGGUACUGACGCUCAUGUGCGAAAGCGUGGGGGAGCAAACAGG